rnacentral:rRNA from 1 species
UACGGAGGGUGCAAGCGUUAUCCGGAUUCACUGGGCUUAAAGGGUGCGUAGGUGGUUUGGUAAGUCAGUGGUGAAAUCUCCGAGCUUAACUUGGAAACUGCCAUUGAUACUAUUAGUCUUGAAUAUUGUGGAGGUCAGCGGAAUAUGUCAUGUAGCGGUGAAAUGCUUAGAGAUGACAUAGAACACCAAUUGCGAAGGCAGCUGGCUACACAUAUAUUGACACUGAGGCACGAAAGCGUGGGGAGCAAACAGG